GUGCCAGCCGCCGCGGUAAUACGUAGGUGGCAAGCGUUGUCCGGAUUUAUUGGGCGUAAAGCGAGCGCAGGCGGUUUCUUAAGUCUGAUGUGAAAGCCCCCGGCUCAACCGGGGAGGGUCAUUGGAAACUGGGAGACUUGAGUGCAGAAGAGGAGAGUGGAAUUCCAUGUGUAGCGGUGAAAUGCGUAGAUAUAUGGAGGAACACCAGUGGCGAAGGCGGCUUUUUGGCCUGUAACUGACGCUGAGGCGCGAAAGCGUGGGGAGCAAACAGGAUUAGAAACCCCCGUAGUCC
rnacentral:rRNA from 1 species